UUCCGGUUGAUCCUGCCGGAGGCCAUUGCUAUUGGGAUUCGAUUUAGCCAUGCUAGUCGCACGAGUUCAGACUCGUGGCGAAUAGCUCAGUAACACGUGGCCAAACUACCCUUCGGAACACAAUACCCUCGGGAAACUGAGGCUAAUAGUGUAUACCACAGUCCACCUGGAAUGAGGACUGUGCCAAACGCUCCGGCGCCGAAGGAUGUGGCUGCGGCCGAUUAGGUAGACGGUGGGGUAACGGCCCACCGUGCCAAUAAUCGGUACGGGUCAUGAGAGUGAGAACCCGGAGACGGAAUCUGAGACAAGAUUCCGGGCCCUACGGGGCGCAGCAGGCGCGAAACCUUUACACUGCACGACAGUGCGAUAAGGGAAUCCCAAGUGCGUAGGCAUAGAGCCUACGCUUUUGUCCACCGUAGGGAGGUGGACGAAUAAGGGCUGGGCAAGACCGGUGCCAGCCGCCGCGGUAAUACCGGCAGCCCGAGUGAUGGCCGAUCUUAGUGGGCCUAAAGCGUCCGUAGCUGGCCGCGCAAGUCUAUCGGAAAAUCCACCCGCUCAACGGGUGGGCGUCCGGUAGAAACUGCGUGGCUUGGGACCGGAAGGCGCGACGGGUACGUCCGGGGUAGGAGUGAAAUCCUGUAAUCCUGGACGGACCGCCGAUGGCGAAAGCACGUCGCGAAGACGGAUCCGACAGUGAGGGACGAAAGCUAGGGUCUCGAACCGGAUUAGAUACCCGGGUAGUCCUAGCCGUAAACAAUGCCUGUUAGGUGUGGCUCCCACUACGAGUGGGUGCUGUGCCGUAGGGAAGCCGCUAAACAGGCCGCCUGGGAAGUACGUCCGCAAGGAUGAAACUUAAAGGAAUUGGCGGGGGAGCACUACAACCGGAGGAGCCUGCGGUUUAAUUGGAUUCAACGCCGGG
rnacentral:rRNA from 1 species